rnacentral:rRNA from 1 species
UGGGGAAUUUUGGACAAUGGGGGAAACCCUGAUCCAGCCAUCCCGCGUGUGCGAUGAAGGCCUUCGGGUUGUAAAGCACUUUUGGCAGGAAAGAAACGUCAUGGGUUAAUACCCCGUGAAACUGACGGUACCUGCAGAAUAAGCACCGGCUAACUACGUGCCAGCAGCCGCGGGAAUACGUAGGGUGCAAGCGUUAAUCGGAAUUACUGGGCGUAAAGCGUGCGCAGGCGGUUCGGAAAGAAAGAUGUGAAAUCCCCGGGCUAAACUUUGGAACUGAAUUUUUAACUACCGGGCUAGAGUGUGUCAGAGGGAGGUGGAAUUCCGCGUUUGGCAGUUAAAUGCGUAGAUAUGCGGAGGAACACCGAUGGCGAAGGCAGCCUCCUGGGAUAACACUGACGCUCAUGCACGAAAGCGUAGGGAGCAAACAGG